CGGACGAGCAACACGCUCCAGCAUCCGAGCUGCAGGGCCGGAUAUUCGCACACGUGUGCAAACAAAACCCAAUAUCCGUAAAGUUCUUCGUUAACUGAACUGAUCAUACAUAUACCCCCACACGAGUAAAGGAUAACGUGCUUCUGGUCUGCAAUCUGCUGUAUCCGACGAGCACCAUCAACAACGUCGAUGGUACGUUCGGUACAAUCUUUCAUAUAACGAAUCUAGCACGAGCACCAAGAUGUGUCGCUACGGCACGAACUGCUCGUGAGUUGAUUAUCACUUUGCACAUCCACGCAAAUCCUCGCCCUGCGUCAUAUCACCAGUCCCGGCCGGAGGGGCGGCCGCUACACACGGUAUGCAAAAGUCCUGGUUCCCGCUUAGCUUCCGGAUGCUGCUCGACGAAACUCGAGAUUAGUUCGCUCAGGACGACCUCAAAUGGGGAACCAGCAACAAUCCCGAUACUGUCGAUCGAAUUCCCUCUUAGUUCAACCCAUCCACAGACACCCUCCGAAUGUAUAGCGAUCGAGGCUGACUCCAUCGUGGAGCUGAUCGAUUUUCACGAUAGCCUAGUGGCCACAUCUUCUCAGACACCGACCUUCGAGGCGUUCCCCGAUGAUGACUGUGAAGGAAGUGGUUUGAUUAUGCCCGAUCUUCUCGACACAGUUGAAUCCAUCUACGAACUGGCGAUCACCUAUGAUACCAUCCCGUCGCCUUAGCUGAAGCAUGACUGCAGUUCCGGUGUGUUUGCUACCUCUAUUGAAGAGUCCGAUCUGGAGCUGAUCCACGACUGCCAGAUUGAGCGGAUGUAUCAGUUGGAUCCAACCGAUCGCUUCGAUUUAUGUCCAUCGGAUAUCGCCUUACGACGUUUCUUGCUGUACCACGGCAGCAGACAUGCCUCAGGAAGGUGGCGGCAAGCAUUCGAACGGAUCGAAACCACCGCUGGUAGAAAUUACGACCAACAAGUUGGCCCUCCGUCCAUGCACGUUAGAACUACAGAUUGCGAAAGCUUAUGAAGACGCUCGAAUCAAACGGAAUACUGUUCAACCGUUUUCCCAGAAACGGCACAACCGCUUUGCCAGUGGAUUUACCACCGUACCAGGCCUCGCUGUGCAAUUUGUCGUUCAUCCGCUGGCUGGAGGCAGUGAUCGAACAGCUCAACUCCGUCAUUGAGUACAGCUCCGAUGGACGACCCGAUCGACAAAUCGCUGCCUUCGGGCACACUUUACCAUUGGCCACCAUCUACGGAAACCGGAAGUAGUAUAGCAACAUCCUACAUCCCAGUUAUUCAAGUUUGCAAACCACAACAGGCUUCUUCACGUCUUCGUAACCUAACCCAAUAGCGCUGUGCUUCGAAAAACACUUUAUCUGUUGUGCCAGUGGCCAGUUAACAGCUAUCUAGAUCGAGGUUCCCCCAGUACGGCCACAACUGUACGUCAUCAUUACCAUCGUUACACCGUUAACAGCUAUGCUGCAGCCCAUUUACCUAUCUUCUCUCUUUGCUCAAAUUGAAAAAGAAUUGCAAGAGUUGUACUUUAAACAUGUGGCACUUCGCAAAAAACUCGAUGCCAUAGCCGGUUCUCUAUGUGAUUCAAUGAUUCGACGAGAGCGACCCAAUGCAGGAUACGUUCGAGGUGACAUGAGCUUCUAAUCGAAGCUGGGCACAAUCGGUCGUCAGCUCCGUGGUGUGCGGUAGAUGAGCACCAUGUCGACCAGCUAAUCAUCGGUACCGCUUCGGCCGAUCAUCCGGCGUGCAUCGAUACGGGCCGCUGCUUGCUGCAGUACAAGGGUCACAGUGCUCCGAUCAUCUCGAUACGGUUCCAUUCGACGCGUGAUAUCGUGCUGACGGGUAUUGGUGACGCGACGAUGGCACUGUGCGAUAUUGCAGGUGGCCAUCAAUUAGGACUCCAUUCACCUGCUCAUUAUCGAAAGUCGCUCUGCGGAGGAGUAUCUGGAGGACGAAGACGACUCGUAUAUAGAGCACGAGUGCACUGAUCUGCUACGGACCCCGUUGUGUGAGUUUUCCGGUCAAGGCGGUCACAAGGCGGUGGGGGAUGAACUGUUCUUUCGGAUGAAGCAGAGCAACUCAAUCCACCUGCUAACAAUCCAAGACAUGUUUAAGUAUGCGAAAUUAGAGCCCUUUUUAUUUUACAUUUCUAUUUGAUCCCCAUACACCAAUCAUAGUACAAUGUAAUGCAACGCAAUCGCAACUAUUUCCAUUAGCGGUAUUAGCGCCUGCCUAACCGAACUAAUCUCGCGGCCAUAGAUUUUUCGCAUGUUUCCGUCUAUAUACAUUACUCUAACUAUUUUAAAUGUAUCGGUUAAGAACCAUCUAUCGUGAUCUUCACACGAAAGCUUGUACGUGGGCAUAAAUAGUACUGUGCCUCCAUUUUCCUUCCUAAAAUCGGGGUACAGGUCGUUUAUAUCCUCGCCCCAUGAUUUAUUAACCACUGCUUCUGCUGUCCUCACUGUUGGGUUUCCCUCACAUGUUGCCGCUACCUCUUUGAGAAAGUAGAAAGAUUGUUCAAACCGACUAGUCGAGUUACUUUCCAAAUUGCCGUCCCUGCGGACACUGGCCGGCAUAUAGAGUAGUAGAUGUGCCGACAAUGGAAUGCUGUUCCCAUCACUCUUUAAACAUGCAUUAAAUUCGUUUAGCAUUUCUUCUGCUCUAUCUAUGUUGCCUUUAUAAAUAUUGUAACUUAGAAUUCUUAUAGCAAGGAAUAAUCGCAAAAAAAUUCUAUUGGUCGAGGUGUCUCGGUUCAUGAACCACACAAGUAUAUAAUUAAAUAUUAUUUCGAAGUGUAGUCUAGUUAACUCGCUCCUUUUGCUUAACCCAUUAAUAUCGUGUUUCUUGAGCUCGGUAGGCAACUGAAACGCAAAUUUUUUAAGGAUUUGGAAAAUUGCGGCAUUGACCAUGUACUUCUCGAAUAUCUUAGGAAAAAUAUUUCCAUAGACUAGAUGUAACACGUCCGUGCACGACACAUCCAACACUAAGUCAAGUCCCAGCAUAUGUCGAAAAGGUGCAAGUUUCACCUGGUGUGGAGUCACUGGCUCAUCUCCGUCUUUCUUACCCCGUUAGUUCUUACCCCGUUAGUUCUCACCCCGUUAGUUCUUACACCUUUGCACAAGUCCAUAGCCUGUUAUAAUAGCUCGCGCUUCUAGGUCCACUAGGCAACGUUUCACGCAGACCUCGAACUGUCGAACGUUUAUGGCGAGUUUCGUGCAUUCCAGUAUGUAAGCGUUGCGCGCGAAUGUUUCAAAGAAAAAAAUCCGGUGGCUGCGAUCUCAUCGUACUGCUGCAUAACGAAACCUCUUGCGUCCCGUGCUGUUCCUGGCCCUUCACUUCUAGCGAAAUGACCCAUGUCGUAUAUUUGACUCCAUGACUGUUCACCUGCUCGGUCCAAUCCACGUGGCACCUCAAAUGGAUGGUGUUCCCUCGUAGAAAUAGUACAAUUUUUGUUAAAGCUACGACUGGCAAUGAGAUGAGAACAUAUUAAUUACAUAUUAGAAGAACCAACGGUGGUUCCGUUGAAUGAAAAUAUUAAAACCAAUAUACUUACCGAGGACAUAAUGCCAAUACUCGCUGUUCCAUUCCGUCACCACUUCUAUUGGUGUGGCAUGUGGCUGAACUGUAGAAUUACAGUACAAAUGGUCCUCAUCGCUUUCAUCAGAUUGCAGAUUAUGCAAUAAACAUUCAAACCGAGCUAAAAUGUCGGCAAACUGGGCACCAUGCGUCUGUAGAAGAAUAUAAAAUUAUGAAACAUUUUCUCUAUUACUAACCAGAAUGUUGUUAAAUUGCAACAGUAUUCUCCUUUAGCCGGCCCGUUUUGCUAAACAUUUUAGCACAUGCAUCGUGCUGGAAAUUCAAAUUGGUGGCAGGACACUUUUUCUUGUUGGUGGUUUUUAGGAAUAAACGGACAGUCGAACAACGGCAGGAAACGGAAAAAGGGAAAGUCGCGCGCGUACGAAAAUUGAAUUCCGCCGAUAUUCUACUCAUAGCCUUCUACUUCUUCAACUUCCAUCUUCGUCACCAAGGGAAACAUGUUUACUCCGGGGGUAAAUAGAUUCCAAAGCGUGCUAUCUUCAAAGUUAAUUUUGUGAAGAAGAGCAAGUACAAUGCGCAGCAUUUGCGGAAGGCCUUUUUAGGGAAAAUGUGAGCGGAGAGUCGCGUGGUGCCUUCCACGCGGACCGGGCGGAUGAAGAUUGUUGUGGUUAUUAUCGGAAUGAAGCGAGCAAGGUUGAAUGAAACAAAGGGAUGGAAAGCUUAUCAAGAC